rnacentral:rRNA from 1 species
GACGAACGCUGGCGGCGUGCUUAACACAUGCAAGUGGAGCGACGAACCAGGGCUUGCCCUGGGGCAGAGCCGCGAACGGGUGAGUAACACGUGGGUAACCUGCCCCGAUCACCGGGACAACCCGAGGAAACUCGGGCUAAUACCGGAUGUGCCCUCCCCACAUCAGUGGGGUGUGUAAAGGAAGCUUCGGCCUCCGGAUCGGGAUGGGCCCGCGGCCCAUUAGCUUGUUGGUGAGGUAACGGCUCACCAAGGCUUCGAUGGGUAGCUGGUCUGAGAGGACGAUCAGCCACACUGGGACUGAGACACGGCCCAGACUCCUACGGGAGGCAGCAGUGGGGAAUCUUGCGCAAUGCGCGAAAGCGUGACGCAGCAACGCCGCGUGGGGGAAGACGGCCUUCGGGUUGUAAACCCCUUUCAGUUGGGACGAAGCCUUGUCCGUUAAUAGCGGUGCGAGGUGACGGUACCUUCAUAAGAAGCCCCGGCUAACUACGUGCCAGCCGCCGCAGUAACAC